rnacentral:rRNA from 1 species
AACGGUAACAGGAUGUGCUUGCACAUCGCUGACGAGUGGCGGACGGGUGAGUAAUGCUUGGGAACUUGCCUUUGCGAGGGGGAUAACAGUUGGAAACGACUGCUAAUACCGCAUAAUGUCUACGGACCAACGGGGCUUUUAGCUCCGGCGCAAAGAGAGGCCCAAGUGAGAUUAGCUAGUUGGUAGGGUAACGGCUUACCAAGGCGACGAUCUCUAGCUGUUCUGAGAGGAAGAUCAGCCACACUGGGACUGAGACACGGCCCAGACUCCUACGGGAGGCAGCAGUGGGGAAUAUUGCACAAUGGGGGAAACCCUGAUGCAGCCAUGCCGCGUGUGUGAAGAAGGCCUUCGGGUUGUAAAGCACUUUCAGUUGUGAGGAAAAGUUAGUAGUUAAUACCUGCUAGCCGUGACGUUAACAACAGAAGAAGCACCGGCUAACUCCGUGCCAGCAGCCGCGGUAAUACGGAGGGUGCGAGCGUUAAUCGGAAUUACUGGGCGUAAAGCGCACGCAGGCGGUUUGUUAAGCUAGAUGUGAAAGCCCCGGGCUCAACCUGGGAUGGUCAUUUAGAACUGGCAGACUAGAGUCUUGGAGAGGGGAGUGGAAUUCCAGGUGUAGCGGUGAAAUGCGUAGAUAUCUGGAGGAACAUCAGUGGUGAAGGCGACUCCCUGG